rnacentral:rRNA from 1 species
GUUCCUACGGGGCGCAGCAGUGAGGAAUAUUGGUCAAUGGGCGAGAGUCUGAACCAGCCAAGUAGCGUGAAGGAUGACUGCCCUAUGGGUUGUAAACUUCUUUUAUAAAGGAAUAAAACGAGGCCCCUGUGCCUUUUUGCAUGUCCUUUAUGACUAAGGCUCGGCUCACUCCGUGCCCGCCGCCGCGGUCCUCCGGAGGCUCCGAGCGUUCUCCGGCUUUCUUGGGUUUCCCGGGAGCGUAGAUGGGUUGUUAAGUCAGUUGUGAAAGUUUGCGGCUCAACCGUCACCUUGCCCUUGCUACUGGC